UAAAAAAUCCCGAACAUUUAUUGAAUGACAAAUAUGUGACAUUUCUUUAUUGCAUUCCCGAUUAUAGAUUUACAACCAUUUUGGCAAAUAUGUUUAUAUAUACAAGGUUUACACAUUGAUGACGAGGUAAUUUAAAAACAACACAAAUUCAUACAACCAACAUUGUCCCUCCACCAUGCCACAAAUAAGCAAAUAAUCAAAUGCAGCCGCCUCGUGAAAUGAUGCUCGAAAUAAUGCUCCUUCAUCAAGCACUUCUCCAAUAUUGUUUAUGCACCAAUUCCCUUCCUAAAAACCAUGAAAAAGAAAUGUUCAAUCAAAUAGUGAUUCCAAGAACAGAUAUCACUGCAAUGACAAGGUAAUAUAGCACUACUGCUUGGUGAUAUAGAGGACAGUAACAGCAGCAGCAAACUAGCAUGUUUCAAUCCAAUCUGACACAAAAAUCAAUUCAUAUUUGUCACCCUCACAAAGCAAAUGACUUUCCAAUCUUAACUGCUACUAGCAAAGUAAUAGAUGAGCUUUCAGUUCAGGAAAUUUCUACUGUACUUUAUAGCAAAGAAAUGCAUGUCCUUUCUUCUAAGAGGAACCAUCAAGAUACAUACACAUGGAACAAUCAUUCAUCUGCAGCUCUAAAAUUUCAACUUUUAAGCUAACACUUGACAAAUUUUACUAGCAAAGAAAACAAAGAGAAUGAAACUUUAUCCAGCCACCGAAGCCAUUAUUGCUAACUGAAAAUUAACAGAAAAAAGAGCAAGGCAAUAUCACCUUAAUCCCAAUCAAACUUAUCUAAAAUCAAGACAUACCAGUUGAAGUAGAAAACAAGACAUACCAGUUGAAGUAGAAACCAACACAUACCAGUUCAAGUAGAAACCAGCAAACUUUAAUUUAGUAUGAAAUAUUACUAAAUGAAUUUAAAAUACAGAGAAUGCCUAUAAUCAACUGGAUAUUUAAUUUAAAAUACGGUACUAGCGGUAGCAGUAACCUGAGGAAACAACUAACAGAUAUGAGAUUAUCUAAUUAAGAACUCAGGACUAACAGAUAUAAAGAGCGAAGACUCGGAGCAUACACAGUACUAACACUAGCAGCAACCUGAGGAAAACAUGCGAGCCAUUAACUAAUGAACUAUCAUCCAUCAAUACAAUCAUCUUGAUAUUUAAUUUAAUUGUUUUGAUAAAUACAGAUGUGUGUGAUACAUCUCGUGCUCACCUGCUGGUGUCCCGCUGCCAGACUACAAAAAUGGGGCUGCUUCCCAGAUGCGCACUCAGCAAAAUCCUGCUGUAUUAAAAAGAGAGGAGAUGAAAAAAAGCACUUGACACAGGGUGACGACAGAAGAGAUUGAUGCUGAUAAAAAAUGAUAAAAGACAUGAAACGAAAGAAAUCAAAUUACCAGGCCUACACUAUGUGUUUUGACAGUAACUGCAAAGGCCAUCCCUGUUCAACACACAGGGGCAGCACGGGAUCUGAGUGGGGCCGGCAUCGACGGCACCUGCAGCAGCCACAUACGGUGCUUCCUCAUGGGUGCCGGCGCGGACAACAGCAUCACGAACUAGCAGUCAGCGGUGGCAGGGACAAAGGGGCAGGCCUAGACACCACAGGAGGAGACGUGGAUCUCAUGCUUGAACUGCCCCUGCUGACGAGAAGCCCAACUGAGAGCUCCGGAUCUGGGCUUCUACGCCAUGGAUCUCAUUGCCCAGGAAUACCUGACAUCCAAGCUGCGGGCGUCGCUAGCUCCAGCCCUCUGCGGUGGGCCAGAUCCCGCCGGAGAGGUCGAGCUGUUCACUGUCCGAUGCGGCCACCUCCUCCACCAUGCCAGCGCCUCACCGGUGACCUCCCCUGUGGCAACGGGCGGCGCAACGGCAGGGUCUAUGGGGAGAGUGGCAGUGGCGUGUCCACGAGUUGGAUUUGGGGAGAAAUGAAAUUUAGGGUUUGGAAAGCUCAUGGAUGGCUGUUUUAUUCGCUACUGCGGAAAUCAU
rnacentral:lncRNA from 1 species